CUGAACCCAAGCCACAGCUGCAGCAAGGCCGGAUCCUUUAACCCACUGCACUAGGCUGGGGAUCGAACAGCUGCAGAACGGUUCUUAACCCACUGUGCCAUCGCGGGAACUCCCUUGGUGACUCUUCUACUCUAAAUUUUGGGUAUUUUGGUCCUUAACCCACCAGCCCAGUUAUGGGUACGGUCAUGCUUGGGGUCUAAAAUAGUGAGGAUGAAGACAGAAGGACAAGUGUAGCAUGCAUGUGACUCAUGUCACCCCAUGGUGGGUGACUUGGAUAUCGUUGAAGGCAGAGAUGAGUGAAGGACCAAGUUACCAGCCACAGUGACUCUAGAGAUUACAAAGGAAAAUCCCUAUGACAGUUCCCAAGGCCAUCCUUGAUAGACUGUGAUAGAAGAAGAAAUUUCCCAAUCCAGACUCUCUGUGGCUGAAGCGCCAGCCACCUCCAGCACUUACGUCAUAAUAGUCAUCUGUUGCCACAGCCAUGCUGUGUAACGAACAACAGGAAAACCUCAAUGGUGCCCAAUACCUCUGGAGUUUUGCUCAUGAGACCGUGGGUUGGCGGGUUGCUUCUGCUGACCUGACCUGGGCUGGGGGAGGCGCCCCUAUGAGUCAGCAGCAGUUGUAGGCAGGCUAAAUGACAUUACUGAUCUUAGGUGGGUGUUUCCAUACCUUGGCCAGCAGCUCAGGGACCAUUCAGCUUGUUGCAAGUGAAUCCAGCACGGCCGGAUUCUGCGAGUGAGUGGAAGCAGGCGAAGCCUCUUAAAACUGGUGGCUUGUACGGUGCCACCGCUGCCACACUGUUGGCCAACUCGGUCACAGGAAGAGCCCCUAUUCAAGGAAGUGGGGACAUAGACCCCACCUUUUGACAAGAGAAGUUAUUGCGUCACAUUCCAAAGGAGGUGGAUGCAGGAAGGAAUAUCAACUGGUGCUAUUUAUGCAAGCAAUCCACCACAUCCAUCACUUAAACAAUUUUUUUUUUUUGCUUUUUUUCUUAGGACCACACCUGCGGCACGUGGAAGUUCCCAGGCUAGGGGUUGAAUCAGAGCGGCAGCUGCCAGCCUUCACCACAGCUCCUGACAAUGCUGGAUCCUUAACCCACUGAGCGAGGCCAGGGAUCAAACCUGCAUCCUCACGGAUACAAGAUGGGUUCAUUACUUCUGAGCCAUGAUGGAACUCCCUCCAUCACUUAAACUUUAUCUGUUUCAGUAUCGCAUAGCUGGCCCCAGAUGUGAAGGUUCUCACAUGGGUCCUGGGCAUCAGGAGGGUUUGUGUACAUGCGCGUGAGAAGGUGAGGCCUUAUAUGUCAGCCGUUUGCUCCGAGGAUCUUAGGCUUUACCAGUCAUGGCCUGGUGUCAUCAAGGGGGAUGUGCAAAAGCACUCAGGAAAUUAUCCACAAUAUUCAGGAAACUUCCAGAAGGAGGCAACGCAGUUAUCUUGCAGAUCCUGUUUCUAUGCUGCCCUGAAAUCCUAGUCGGGUUCUGGUUGCCAAGGAGAUGCUAUUGUUUCAAAGUGGGACACAGCCAUCCCUGGGCUAAAGACCCGUUGAAAAUGGCUCUCAUCUCCUUUUCCAAAUGAAUGAAUACAAGCACUUUAGCCUGACCUUUCAGACCCUGCCCAAUCUGACCAAAUGACAGGUUCCAAAUCCCCCCUCUCAUGUAGGUCCCGUGCAUAGGUACUGGAUGUUGCCGUGGGCUUCUGCUUCUUGCUAUUCCUCCAUCUCUGCAAAUGCAAAUCGCAGCAGUUCUGCAAGUGCCUGUUUCAAGAUGAGCUGUUUUAAAAACCACCACCGUUAACAGCAAACACAAAUGCAUGGCUCUUCUCUUUAUCUGGCAUCCAGAAAAAGAAGAGUGUUGAAAGCCAGACCAAUCUGAGAACAAUUCUACCUUAGACAAGUCUCCUAAUUUUGCUCGGCCUCUAUUUUUAACUCUCUAAAAUGGGGCUAAUAACCCACUUGCAGGAUGAUAUAAUAAAAUAAUGGUUUUCAAGUUCCUAGCGUUUAGGUAGGAUGCAUGGUAACUGGAUAAAGAUGACUGUUUUUUGACCCCACGUUCCAAGCUAUGCCCUUAUGCUUUCCUCUGUUGUCUGAUGUUACCUCUCUUCCCUCGUCUUGCCCACACGUCCCCCUUCUUACCCAGAAAGGCUAAGUCUUGUUUCUUAUUACUGUAAUCCGCAUUUCUGGAUGAGAAAAUGGAGAAACCACAACAAGAUCAGGUAACUUGGUUCAAGGCCAGAUAGUUUGCCCUGGUGGAGCUGAGCUUUGAUUUAUUCUAGGACCUGCGUUCUAACCCCCGGUAUGCUCCUGCCUUAUCCUGGUGUGGGCUUUCAGGAAGUACAGCCCAAGAUCAAGGUUUAUUGAAGAUCAAGGGGCACGAGUGGAGGGCAGAGAAGUGAAAGAGGAAAGAGGNNNNNNNNNNNNNNNNNNNNNNNNNNNNNNNNNNNNNNNAGUCUCUGAAUCCUGGGUGAAGGAAAAAAAGAAACACUCACCCUUUGUCUCCAGGGUCACGGCUCAGGGGUUAACUGUUAAGCGCCUGCCCUGCUGGUUGUGCAUGAUUAGCCUCAAGGCAGGUCCCUCUGGCACCCUGCCACAAGCACUUGGAGCAGCCCGGGGGCAGGAAGCCAGACCUAACAGGCACUUUCCCACUGUCCCUGGGCAAACCUGGCCCCAGCCUGCGUGGAGCUGGUGGCCGCAGCACAGGACAGGAAGGAGUUAGGGAGGGGGCACAGUGAUGGUGACGUGGCAGGUGUGUGUGGAGUUGUUGGCACUGACACCAUAGCAAACAAAGGAGACAGUGGGUGGUGAAAGUACUGUCACCAGGGGAGUUUUCCUAAAUUUCAUCUUCAUGUGAGGAGAAAGGAUUCGGUUAUGUUUAUUUUCGAAGCAGGCCAGUCAGCGCAAGAGGGAGUAUUAAGAAUUCUUGUCUCAAAUUCCUUUUAAAGAGUUCAAUGGGAUGAAGUUUUUUAAAAAGGGAUUUUAUGCAAAGGUGUGGGCUCACCUGUGUUUUGAAACAUGUUAAGUAUGUGAGAUUAUGGAAGAAGGGAUUUUUUUCUGAGACUUUCUUCUCAAUUCACGGUGAGAAAAUUACAUGCCUUUAGAAACUAGGACUUUAAAUUGUAGGUAACUUCCAUCAUAUAGCAUGGUCCUAAAAAUAAAAAAGUAGCACAGUUUUAAGCUUUCCUGAGUCUUUUUUAGGCUCGGGUUUAUUGUUCUCUUGGGAGAGACUGUUGGCCUUUCAGUUGACAGGUCCUGCUUUUAUAUAUUGGUCUGGGAACCUCCCUCUCACGGAUGAUCUUUUAAAUCAAAGGACACAUUCAGGACUGGAAGAAAAAAAAAUCUAUUUUUCUUUUUCUUUUUAUGGCCACACCUGCAGCAUAUGGGAGUUCCCAGGCUAAGGGUCAAAUUGGAGCUGGAGCUGCAGCUGGGCCUAUGCCACAGCCACAGGCACAGCAGUGCUGGAUCUGAGCCGCAUCUGUGACCUACCCUGCAGCUCGUGACAAUGCCGAAUCCUUUAAGAUAUCUAACCUCAUGGAGCUCCCUUUUGAUGCAGUAGGUUAAGGAUCUGGCAUUGUCACUGCAGUGGCUCGGGUUCCAUCCCUGGCCCAGAAACUUCCUCAUGCUAGGGGUAUGGCCAAAAAGAAAGGAAAAAAAAAAAAAAAAGGUGGCAUCAGAAAGACAGAGCUCAAAUUCCUACCCCGCCGAUUCAAGGGGCCAACUCUUAGGGAAACUCUCAAGACUCGAUUUCCUCCUCUGUAAAAUGAUAUCAGUUCUUUAGGAAGUUAUUGUGAGGGUUAAAGAGGUCAUAUAUGUGGAAAGACCAAAUACACACAACAACAUGGAGUUUCAUUUUACUUUUAGAAAUGGCUCAGGGAGUUCCCGUUGUGGCUCGGGAGUUAAGAACCCAACAUUGUCUGUGAAGAUUCAGAUUCGAUCCCUGGCCUUGCUCAGUGGGUCAAGGGCCAGCAUUGCCACAAGCUUUGGCAUAGGUCACAGAUGCAGCUCGGAUCUGGUGUUGCUGUGGUUGUGGCAUUGGCCCGCAGCUGCAGCUCCGAUUCAAGCCCUGGCAUGGGGACUUCCAUAUGCAAUAGGUGUGGCCCAAAAGAGAGAGAGAGAGAAAAAAAAAAAAAGGCUCAGAAUUAUGAGUAAACUCCUAGGGAAUUAGUAUUAAAUUCCUAGUGUCAAAACGCUGGAUUUUGAAUUGGGGGAGAACUUGCGGAAAGGCUGGGCUGCAAGCUGAGUUCAGUCAGAUGUGCCCUGUAGUUUAUUUCCCCCAGUGGUUGCAUAUCGUUGAAAAAGACACUCUUAUCAGCAAGAAGCUGAUUUUUGCUGUCUCCCCUUACAGCUGGACAAAUGUCACACAGGGAGAGUUCUUGCCUUGGAUAUGAAUUUUUCUGUAAUCAGCAAAUUAAGAGAAAUGAAAAUUUAGGGCUCUCCUUGGAAUCCCCUGCACAAAAGACUUUACACAUCCUCUAUAGCUUUCCAAAGGACAGAUUUCUAUUUCUUCUUGGGAAUCUGAUCAUCACCUCUCAUUACACUCGGAUCAUCUCCCCCUUCCCCACAAGCCUCCUUCUUACCUCUUUAUUUCAAUCAGCAACAACAUUGUUCUCGGGCUUUCUCAUUAAUGCACUCACACUCAUCAUUGCGCUGCAUAUGGUAAGUCCAUUAGCACCCUUCACCUCCUCUCAAACCAUCAUCUCAAGAAGGCAUUAUCCCUCUCAGACCGUGGUAUGGAAAUAGAGGUUCACUGAGAUUCAAUGACUUCCCAGGUCCCAAAGCUAGUAGAAAAAGCAGCAGCUUUGCACUCGAGCUCUGGCGCCAGGUUCAAUGGCCCUUUCCCCAUUCUACGUGACUAUUUUUGGUUAAUAAGAAAUGAUAGUGAAAUUAACGUGCCUAUUGUUGGGAUCACAAUUGACAUUUUCAAAGGUAACAAUAACGUUGUCUUUUGCCCAACUUAACACUAUUGGAGUAUUGUAUUAAUGAAAUAUCAAGCGAGUGUAAGAAAUGACACAGGAAAAUCAUGGCUCAGGAAUAAGUCAGGGGCAAAAAUGACGCUGACAACGCCGAUGUCUUUCAGAAUUCAUGUCCAGUAAUGAAGCAGAAACAAACCUAGGCAAGAAUGCUACUCCAAUAUUCAUAUAAACAUAGAUAUAAAAGAAAAUAAUCAAGGUUCAGUUUUGCCAAUUUUAUUGAACCAAUAAAAUUCCUACUAAUAACAAUGAAAUAAAUUUCUGCAAGUAUAAAUGUGAUACAGUUUAACAAAACCCAUUGUUCUGUACCUAUAAAUAGAUUUUCAAAAUGUCAUAAAAAGUGCAGUUAUGAAUUGUUAACAUGUUAAUACACAGUUCCUUUAUUUCAAAUGUGUUUGCCUUGACUCGCUAACAGUUCCUUCUGCAUCUGUUCAAAUAAUAUUACCCAUCCCU
rnacentral:lncRNA from 1 species